UAUAGUAAAAGAUAUUAAUUAAUCUAAUUAAUUAACAUAUAUUUACCCUACACUAGGAUCUAAAUAUGAUAUACAGCAUGCAUGCAUUUAAAUUUGAAAUUCGAAUUUAAACAGUAAACACUUUACUGUAAUGUGUUCAGAACACAUUACCUUUGUGUGGGUAGUAGAUCACCGCAAUCUGAUCACUGUCAGAAGAGUCUGAUCAUCAUGACAUAGCCACAC
rnacentral:lncRNA from 1 species